GGGGUCAUAGUUCAGUGGUAGAGCACUUACCUAUAAAGUGUGAGGCACUGGGUUCAAUUCUCAGCACCA
rfam:Ictidomys tridecemlineatus contig000700, whole genome shotgun sequence.